AACGAACGCUGGCGGCAGGUCUUAGGCAUGCAAGUCGAACGGGUGUAGUAAUACACCAGUGGCGAACGAGUGAGUAACGCGUGGGAAUCUGCCCAUCUCUGGGGAAUAACGGUUGGAAACGAACGCUAAUAACGCAUACGCCCGCAAGGGGAAAGAUUGAGCGGAGAAGGAUGAGCCCGGGUUGAAUUAGUUAGUGGGGGGGGUAACGGCCUACCAAGGCGAUGAUCCAUGGCUGGUCUGAGAGGACGAUCAGCCACGCUGGAACUGAGAUACGGUCCAGACUCAUACGGGAGGCAGCAGUGGGGAAUAUUGGACAAUGGGGGGAACCCUGUUCCAGCCAUGCCGCGUGUGUGAAGAAGGCCUUAUGGUUGUAAAGCACUUUAAGCGAGGAGGAGGCUCUUUUGGUUAAUACCCAAGAUGAGUGGACGUUACUCGCAGAAUAAGCACCGGCUAACUCUGUGCCAGCAGCCGCAGUAA
rnacentral:rRNA from 1 species